rnacentral:rRNA from 1 species
UACGUAGGGUGCGAGCGUUGUCCGGAAUUAUUGGGCGUAAAGGGCUCGUAGGCGGUUUGUCGCGUCGGGAGUGAAAACACACAGCUUAACUGUGUGCUUGCUUCCGAUACGGGCAGACUAGAGGUAUGCAGGGGAGACUGGAAUUCCUGGUGUAGCGGUGAAAUGCGCAGAUAUCAGGAGGAACACCGGUGGCGAAGGCGGGUCUCUGGGCAACAACUGACGCUGAGGAGCGAAAGCGUGGGGAGCGAACAGG